CUACGGGCCGCACCAGUGAGGAAUAUUGGACAAUGGGGGAAACCCUGAUCCAGCAAUGCCGCGUGAAUGAAGAAGGCCUUAGGGUUGUAAAGUUCUUUCACUCGUGAAGAUGAUGACGGUAGCGAGAGAAGAAGCCCCGGCUAACUCUGUGCCAGCAGCCGCGGUAAGACAGAGGGGGCUAGCGUUGUUCGGAAUAACUGGGCGUAAAGGGUGCGUAGGCGGUUGUUUAAGUAAAGUGUUAAAGCCCUGGGCUUAACCCAGGAAUCGCAUUUUAAACUGGACAGCUAGAGUGUGGUAGAGGAAAGUGGAAUUCCUAGUGUAGAGGUGGAAUUCGUAGAUAUUAGGAGGAACACCAGAGGCGAAGGCGGCUUUCUGGACCACAACUGACGCUGAGGCACGAAAGCGUGGGGAGCAAACAGGAUUAGAUACCCUAGUAGUC
rnacentral:rRNA from 1 species